AUCCCAUGAUGAGAACACUUACAAAGUAAUUCCUUGAAUCUUUCCCACGCCUCAUAUAAAGACUUAUCAUCCAACUGUUGAAAAGUAGUUAUCUCAUUUCGCAACUU
rfam:Gossypium raimondii Chr03_contig_306, whole genome shotgun sequence.